AGAACUGCAAGGGUUAAUCCAGAGGAGAAAAGAGACAAGUCGGGUCAGGAAAUAGGAAGUCAAACCAAUAAUCAAGCACACCAGAAUGAAGGACAAUAGCUGGCAUUGGAUAAACAGCACAGCAGAUUCAAAUAAAGAGCCAAGUUCCCAGAUUGGCUGCACUAAACCUCCCCUAAGCGGACAAUCAGCUGGACCUCUGGAGUGGCUGGACAUCUGAGCACCAUGACUGACCGAGUGAAGGAGGAUGGAAACAGCCUCAUCCCUGUUACAAGAAAACUAUGUAUCCUUCAUAGUUGAGUCGUUACUAUGGGUUAGGGAGCAUCCACACGACCGCAUGUAUUUUGCAAGUCCGAGUACUGUCGAUGUGCUUUCCGCAUCCAUAUGUUCAUUCCACAAGAGAUAGAAGAUAUCCCAUUCUUGGUUACAAAUGCAGACCAUGGACCCACUGAAGUCAAUGAGUGCACAAAAAAGCUCAUUUUGGUGGCUGCUGCACUAAAGUUGAACUGUUAACUGUGACAUGCCAAAUUACUGAAGAAUAUGCUGCUAAUGUUUCUGCACAAGCUCACUGCACCUGCCUUUCCACCAAUGAGGAACUCCAGCCUGUACCAUCAUAUCUCGUAAACUUCCUAAAAAGCAAGUGGAAGAGCCUCAAAGAUGCCUUCAUUUGUCAUCGACGCAAAGAGAAGGAACAGAGGAGUGGAGCUUCGCCAAGUGCACGGUCCAGCUAUGUCCAUGCUGAGGAAAUGGCCUUUCUAAUACCAUGCACUGAAAUGCAUAGCACCGAUAGUAGCUGGUCGAAAAGACAACAGCAGGAGGAGGUCACCAGGGACAGUGAGGCAUGUGCGUCUACGGGGCCACUAAGUCCUCCUCCACCCGAUUCCACCCCUACAUUCCAAACACCCACACAGCCUACCCCACUUGUCGUGGAACCCUAAAACAUUCGGACUCACCGUUCAAAACAGAAAAGAACCGAUCGCCAGGAGGACCGGCUAAUUGCAUGCCUGGAUGCACUUGCCCAUCCAGCACCCAAACUCACUAGUGAUGCACUUUUCUUCCUGAGUGUGGAGGAAAAAAUGCUGCUAGUUCCCCGAAGUCGCAUAACUGAAGCGAGGGAGGCCUUAACAAGGACUGUAGACAGCUUCAUUACACAUUAUGACAUCACACAGCCCAACAAUGCACCACAACAUCCACCACAACAUCCACCACAACAUCCACCACCACAUCCACCACAAUAUCCACCACAAUAUCCACCACAACAUCCACCACCCACUCACACAUACACAUCACAAACAUACCCACAAACUAACAUACCACACCCUCACGACACAUGGCACACACAAACACAAUCAUCAUACAGCUAUCCAUCCACCAGCAUGGGCACCAACACCUCCACCACCACUCAAAUGCAACCUGCCCAGCAAUCAGGCGGAAUGAGAGAGGCCAUGCGGGAUAACGAGCCACAAUACCAAAACCUUUGAGAAGUAGCAUACAAAAUUUGGUGCAUCAGGGGUGUUCUUCCUUCAUUGUUAAUAUCGGAAAGUUACCGAAUAAUUUUAAGUUAAAAAUUACAAAACUUAUGUUGAUUGUGUUAGGCUCCUUUCACACUAGC